UUUUUCGAAAAAUAAAUAUAUUCAUUUGUUAACAUGUUUGGUCUUCAUUUUUUAAAAUUUAUUUUUCUUUAAACAUAUUUUCAAUUAUAUAUUUAUGGAAUUCACACUUUUGCUAUUGAAUUAGUGUGGAGAAAUAGAGAGGCAUGACUAUAGCGUGUAAAAAGGAGAAAGAGUAAAUAGGGCUCUAUGAUAUAAUCCUCCACGCCGCAUAAAUUGAGGAAGCAACAAAGUCACUGAAUCAAACACGUAAGAUAAACGACGUCGUUGUUUUCUAUCAAUAAAAAAAAAAAAAAAACUACAGUGAAACAAAAUUGAAGAAUCUAUUGUUCUUUCUACAGUAGUGAAACAUUGCUCUUUUUAUAUAGUAGUGACAUAAUCAGCACAAGCAUCCUAUAAUUACAUUAGCAAAAUAAUCAUCUAUUUAAAAGAAAUAAAUUAGAAUUUUAAUAAAUUAGAAUUUUGAAAAGUUUAAAUUAAAUUUUGAUGGUACUUGCCAUAUGAGAGAAAAUAAAUUCAUUACAUGUAUGAAUUAUCAAUGUUUGCUAGAUGUAGAUCAUCAAGGUCCCAUCAGUCAAUUUUACCUCUCGCGUCUAAGAUUUGUGCAUAUGUCAAAUGUCUAAAACGUAUUUGUUUUAUUUUCAUUAUAGUUUCAUUUAAUUUUUGAGGACAAAAUUUAUUUUUAGCCUUAUAUUUCACACAAUUCAUAAUUUUACAUGUCAACUAUUCAUUUCUAUCAAUUUAUAAUUUCAACAAAUGAAGCAUACAAUGGUAUUUACUAUUGAAAGGCACAUAUAAUAUUUUAUUUUAUUUUAAUAUUACAUUCUUGUUAUACGUUCAUAAAUAUAUAAAAGAUUUUUCAUUGGUCUUUAUUAAAAGUAUUAUAUUAUUAUUUCUGAAGAAGCAUAUCAAUAUUCUAUAAAAAUAUUGUAUAAUUACUUUC
rnacentral:lncRNA from 1 species